rnacentral:misc_RNA from 1 species
GAAUUGCCGAAUGCUACUUUGUGUUUUGGAAAUCAAGGAAAUUCAUUUGGAAACAAACAGUGCUGUUGACAUGUGUUAGCAAUUUGGAUUGGGGGAAUUGCUCCUUUUCUCGGAAUAUCAUGUUGCAUCUACUUGAAACUCUAGAGUUUCUGCACUUUAAGUAAACUGUGAUCAACUGAAAUGUCUAUCAAUACUAGAGCAAGUAAUUAAAAGAUGAAACCAAUUGAAUUUCCAUUCACUGAUACUGUCUUUUUCUAUAUCUUUUGCUUCUGCGAGAGUCAUCCCAUCGGUUUGGACCAGUGAUGGUGUUAAAUUUCCAAUUGUA